CUACCUGCUUGAGAGACAUACUUCUUUAUAUGCCCAUAUGAACCUGGCAAGCUAUGGAAUGUAAAGAAGUAUGUAUUUCAGGUGGGGAUC
ensembl:miRNA